GACGAACGCUGGCGGCGUGCUUAACACAUGCAAGUCGAACGGAAAGGCCCUGCUUUUGUGGGGUGCUCGAGUGGCGAACGGGUGAGUAACACGUGAGUAACCUGCCCUUGACUUUGGGAUAACUUCAGGAAACUGGGGCUAAUACCGGAUAGGAGCUCCUGCUGCAUGGUGGGGGUUGGAAAGUUUCGGCGGUUGGGGAUGGACUCGCGGCUUAUCAGCUUGUUGGUGGGGUAGUGGAUUACCAAGGCUUUGACGGGUAGCCGGCCUGGGAGGGUGAACGGCCACAAUGGGACUGAGAUACGGCCCAGACUCCUACGGGAGGCAGCAGUGGGGAAUAUUGCACAAUGGGCGGAAGCCUGAUGCAGCAACGCCGCGUGCGGGAUGACGGCCUUCGGGUUGUAAACCGCUUUCGCCUGUGACGAAGCGUGAGUGACGGUAAUGGGUAAAGAAGCACCGGCUAACUACGUG
rnacentral:rRNA from 1 species